GACCUGUUAGUCAAGGGGUUAAGACGCCACGUUCUCAGCGUGGAGGCACGGGUUCGAAUCCCGUACAGGCUA
rfam:Enterococcus asini ATCC 700915 genomic scaffold acvKe-supercont1.4, whole genome shotgun sequence.